AGUCUCAGCAAUGCCAGAUCUGAGCUGCCUCUGAGACCUACUCCACAGCUUGAGGCAAAUCCCUAACCCGCUGAACGAGGCCAGGGAUGAAACCUGCAUCAUCUCAUGGAUAGUCAGGUUCUUAACCCACUGGUCCACAAUGGGAACACUACUUUUGCCACUUUCAAGCUUCUGAAGUAUGAGUUUUCUCCACGACAUGUUCAAUUGUUUUAUUUACACCACUUCCACUCACUUUUAGUACUGAAAUCCCUUCUUUUCAUGUGAUUUCAUUAAGAUGUGCUCACUUAGGCAUUAGCUUACAUAGAAACUCACAUCACAGGAGUUUGCCCAUCCCAGGACAAAAGUGUGAGCAGAAUCAUCCAGGAAACAAACCCUGCACUUCCUCUACAGCACAGUUUCUGCCCUGAAUCAAUUCUUCCUUUAUCACAGAGGUGUUACACUACCUUUAUAGAAGCUGCUUAUGACUUCACAUUAGGUCAUUUAUAAUCUUAGUUCUUUUCUCACCAGGAUUCGUGGACAAGUGGGAAGUUUUGUUUUUUGUCUGAUUGGUGAGAUUGCAUUUGAAUCUUGUGGUCCACUUCUCAGAAGUGUGCGUCAGUUUUGACCACCCAGAAAACUAUGGCAGCACUGAAAUUUGUGUCUUUCUCCCUCCCUGACAUUGUAUCUUCUUUGUGAAUUCUCUUUCUUUCUUGCUUGCUUGCUUGUUAAUGAUAAUAGGGAAGAAGAAGUUAAGUCACGUGAACGUUUUUCCCUGUUUAAGGUCUGUUUCCUUUCUUACUGCACUUUCUCCUUUAAAUCCCAUUCGAUUACCUUUUUCAACACCAAUAAAUGCAUAUUUUUACAUGAGUUUCUUGGAAUCUUACUCUUCCAACAGAAUUGCCAUCUUUGUCAUUUAUUUAUUUCACAAAAUUGCUUCUUUGAUUUGUCCAGUUGGUGCAGUCUAUGCAUAUGUUUUGUCAGACUCAAGUAAAUUCUGUUAAUCAUACACCUCUGGGUACUGGCAUUUUCUCUGUAGCCUGUGUGAAGGUUUUGUCCAAGAUUAAAAUCAUUUGACUUAGACCUGCUUCCCUACAAGCUAAGCUUACUUUCCUUUCCUUUCAUGGGGUUUAACUGAGAAGACCUUCACUUGGGUAUUAGCUGAAAUAGAAAUUCACAAAACACGAGGUUAUAUAUUGUCAAUGGAUGAAAAUAUUGCAGAUGGAAGAGCCCAGAAAACAUGUCUCUGUGCACCUCUGGAAGCAGUGCUCAGGAUGCUCUAAUUUAGUUACUGCUGCUACUUUAUACCCUUUGGCUAUCACAAAACUCGAUUUAACUAUACAUAUUAAUUAAAUGCCAUCAAUUGAUUCAAUCUUACAAACAAUAAUAAAUGCCUGUAGUCCAAGGGAUCA
rnacentral:lncRNA from 1 species